rnacentral:tRNA from 1 species
UAGGAUGUGGUGUAAUGGGAGCAUGAAGGGUUUUGAGUUCUUUGGUAUAGGUUCGAGUCCUGUUGUCCUAG